rnacentral:rRNA from 1 species
GAUGACGACCGGCGCACGGGUGAGUAACACGUAUCCAACCUGCCGAUGACUCGGGGAUAGCCUUUCGAAAGAAAGAUUAAUACCCGAUGGCAUAGUUCUUCCGCAUGGUGGAACUAUUAAAGAAUUUCGGUCAUCGAUGGGGAUGCGUUCCAUUAGGUUGUUGGCGGGGUAACGGCCCACCAAGCCUUCGAUGGAUAGGGGUUCUGAGAGGAAGGUCCCCCACAUUGGAACUGAGACACGGUCCAAACUCCUACGGGAGGCAGCAUG